UACGGAGGGGGCGAGCGUUAUCCGGAUUCACUGGGUUUAAAGGGUGCGUAGGCGGGAAUGUAAGUCAGUGGUGAAAUCUCUGAGCUUAACUCAGAAACUGCCAUUGAUACUAUGUUUCUUGAAUUUUCUGGAGGUCAGCGGAAUAUGUCAUGUAGCGGUGAAAUGCUUAGAUAUGACAUAGAACACCAAUUGCGAAGGCAGCUGGCUACAGGGAUAUUGACACUGAGGCACGAAAGCGUGGGGAUCAAACAGG
rnacentral:rRNA from 1 species